GCUCACUGACAUUAAGGAGCUCGUUGUCUAGCACCUUGGUACUUUGAGUACUAAGAUGCUAGACAAUGAGCUCCUUAAUGUCAGUGAGC
rnacentral:pre_miRNA from 1 species